UGAAUACAUAUACAAGUAAUGUGCAUCUAACAAGGCAAGCAUAUCUUAGAUUCCCAAACCAGUACUGGGCAUCUUCAAAAGAGGAUUCCCCUGCAAAAGUAGAUGGGUUCAGUCUCUUCUACCGAAAAUUCAAAAUGAAAUACAUAUAAUAAUCUGAGUGUGGAAGCGAAAUAAAAGAUUAAAGUUAACAUCCCUUACA
rnacentral:lncRNA from 1 species